rnacentral:tRNA from 1 species
AAGACGCUAGUCCAACGAAGACAACU